CAUCCAGAGGCCGAGCCUCUCCAAGCACUGGUCAGCCUUCAUGCCACCCAGUCUGCCGACCCUCCUCUCCACCAUCCCCUCGUCCGAGCAGUGGCGAUCCCUCCCGUGUCAAGGCUGGGCACAAGCACGUGGGGACAGGCCGGGCGAACCUCUUCCCGGCCGCUCUGGUGCACUUCGGAGCCGAGGAGCCGGCAGGUGUCUACCUGGAGCCUGGCCUGCUGGAGCAUGCCAUCUCCCCAUCUGCGGCCGACGUGCUGGUGGCCAGGUAAGUGCCGGUGGGUCUGGGGGCACCUCCCGUGGCGGCACUCACCACUCUGUGUCUUCGCCUCCCCACAGGUACAUGUCCAGGGCCGCCGGGUCCCCUUCCCCAUUGCCAGCCCCUGACCCUGCACCUAAGUCUGAGCCAGCUGCUGAGGAGGGGGCGCUGGUCCCCCCUGAGCCCAUCCCAGGGACGGCCCAGCCCGUGAAGAGGAGCCUGGGCAAGGUGCCCAAGUGGCUGAAGCUGCCGGCCAGCAAGAGGUGAGAGCUGCCAGCCUGAGGUGCCCACUCCGCCAGCCACAGGACCACCUCCUCUGCCAGCAGGAAUAAAGACUUGUGCAUCCCUC
rnacentral:sRNA from 1 species